GAUGAACGCUAGCGGCAGGCCUAACACAUGCAAGUCGAGGGGUAGAACACUUCGGUGUUUGAGACCGGCGCACGGGUGCGUAACGCGUAUGCAAUCUACCUUAUACAGGGGAAUAGCCCAGAGAAAUUUGGAUUAAUGCCCCAUAGUAUUACGACUUGGCAUCAAGAUGUAAUUAAAGUUCCAACGGUAUAAGAUGAGCAUGCGUCCCAUUAGUUAGUUGGUAAGGUAACGGCUUACCAAGACGAUGAUGGGUAGGGGUCCUGAGAGGGAGAUCCCCCACACUGGUACUGAGACACGGACCAGACUCCUACGGGAGGCAGCAGUGAGGAAUAUUGGUCAAUGGUCGCAAGACUGAACCAGCCAUGCCGCGUGCAGGAAGACGGUCCUAUGGAUUGUAAACUGCUUUUAUACAGGAAGAAACCCUCCCACGUGUGGGAGCUUGACGGUACUGUAGGAAUAAGGAUCGGCUAACUCCGUGCCAGCAGCCGCGGUAACAC
rnacentral:rRNA from 1 species